AUGGCGGUAAAGAUGAAAGGGAUCUUCAAAGGGCUGAGGAUAUUCUCGCACAUGUUUGCUCAAAAGGAGCAUGAGAUGGAAAUCGGGUUCCCUACAGAUGUAAAGCAUGUGGCUCACAUAGGGUUGGGCACCAGCGACACAUCUCCAAGCUGGAUGAAUGAGUUCAAGUCGUCAGAAGAUAUGUCUGCAGGCUCUCUGAGCACAGCUGAGCAGUCAAGGCAGACUUCUUGGACCUCUACAGACUUUGAGCCAGCAAGAUCCAUGCUGCCAACUGAGAUCAAUUUCCCAGACAGACCAGCGCAGGAGUCCUCCUCCUGCCCCCCAAGAGGCCCCAGGAAGGCAAGGAGGAAGAAGACCAGGACAUCGUCCCCCACCUCCUCUGCAAGAUCAUCUUCCUCGAGGUCGAGGGCCUCCUUCGCGACGGCGUUCGACGAUUUCAACGAGUCGCAAAGAGGGCUCCGGGUCGUGUAA
rnacentral:rRNA from 1 species